GACGAACGCUGGCGGCGUGCUUAACACAUGCAAGUCGAACGGUAAGGCCCUUCGGGGUACACGAGUGGCGAACGGGUGAGUAACACGUGGGUGAUCUGCCCUGCACUUCGGGAUAAGCCUGGGAAACUGGGUCUAAUACCGGAUAGGACCCUGGGAUGCAUGUCCUGGGGUGGAAAGCUUUUGCGGUGUGGGAUGGGCUCGCGGCCUAUCAGCUUGUUGGUGGGGUGAUGGCCUACCAAGGCGACGACGGGUAGCCGGCCUGAGAGGGUGACCGGGCACACUGGGACUGAGAUACGGCCCAGACUCCUACGGGAGGCAGCAGUGGGGAAUAUUGCACAAUGGGCGCAAGCCUGAUGCAGCGACGCCGCGUGAGGGAUGACGGCCUUCGGGUUGUAAACCUCUUUCAGCACCGACGAAGCGCAAGUGACGGUAGGUGCAGAAGAAGGACCGGCCAACUACGUGCCAGCCGCCGCGGUAA
rnacentral:rRNA from 1 species